rnacentral:lncRNA from 10 species
UAUAAAACCUGAACAACAACUGUAUAUACCUGUAUUCCUUGAAAGCAGUGGAGCGUGACUGAAAGCAGACAGAAACCUAAGGUGCUUCCCAAACCUAGAAUUCCUGUGGCAUAUACAACACCCUUACUGGCUCAAGGUGGCAGAGAAUCUGGACCAUUAGGGAUGGAAGACUCAAAAGCUCAACAUCUUGUGGAAGCUGCCAAGGCUUGGGGCUUGCACCGUCUGAAGCCAUGGCCUGAGCUGUACCUUGGCCUCUUUUAGCCACAGCUGGAGCUGAAGCAACUGAAGAUGCAGGGCACUGUCCCCAGGCUGCAUGGAGCAGGGGGUUCCUGGACCUGGCCCAUGAAACCAUUUUUUCCUCCUAGGCCUCUGGGCCUGUGAUGGAAGGGGCUGCUGUAACGGUCUCUGACAUGUCCUGGAGAUAUUUUACCCAUUGUCUUGGUAAAUAACAUUCUGCUCCUUGUUACUUAUACAAAUUUCUGCAGCCAGCCUGAAUUUCUUCCCAGAAAAUGGCUUUUUCUUUUCCAUCACAUUGCCAGUGUGCAAAUUUUCCAAACUUUUAUGCUCUGUCACCUCUUG